AAGGAAUUCCUUUUACAUCACAGUGGUAGAGCUGGUUAAAAACACCAUCUGCUCUCAUAAAUGCCUGGACUGUGUUUAGCCACACUAUUCAAAAACUUGAGAAUAGCUACUGAAAGCUGGAGAUGAACCCUUGAAGUACACUGGAUGACAUCCGAACACAUCCAACAGUUAAGUGAAGGACCAAGUACUAUAAAAAGUCAAGUUACCCAGCUAAAGAGGAGAACGUGCCAGCUCCAUCUAGUUCAUAGAUUACAGCUAUCCUUUGGAAGCAGAGAUUGGUCAGGCAUGGAUAGUCCAUUCCUGGGUGGACCACUGCACAAUCCAAAGAGUGAGCCACCAGCACAUAGCCCAACUAUCCGUGCAGAUAUUCAGGAUGCCAUCACUGGGUUCCUUGGUUAUAACCAUCCACACGGCUCGCAGUUCUGCCCAUUGGCUGCUCUGACCAUCCUCCUCAUCAAACCAGAUUCUCUUGGUGGAGGGAUUGUAUGCUAUCGCUCUCCACUUGCUUGGGUUGCCCUUGCUGGACCCAUCUGUGUACCAGGCAUCUUCAGGAAUGGGAUAUUUCCCCUCCUGAACAGGACUCUUCCCUGGUGGAGCAACCAAGGUUUCCUUCAGUGCAUCACUAUGAAACGUCACUGGGCCUAGGAUCUUCUGAAGUUCUUCUUUCAACAGUGAUGAAUACUACUCAGACUACUCCUCUGGCUGAGACAAGCAACCCAUUGUGCCACCGUUUGUGCCUGGGCCACCCCUGUCAUAGGAAGGUAGGUCAGAUCUUUCACCCACUCCUGAACUGGCAGGGUUGUCUUAACUAUGACCUCAUCUGUUUGGGUUAUUGGCUCUACCGCCUGCAAUGGGGAGUAAGCAGCGAAUAACUGUUUUGCAAUUAUACUGUAUCUUGCUUCUGUUCCAUGCCAGAUCUGAGACCAGAAUCCAAUGGGAGUCUGAACAGAAUUCUGGAGUGGCCACAGGCCCCAGCCAAAGCCAUCCUGAGUGACAUGAACGUCCAAUUCAGCUGGGAGGGUAGAACCAAAUAUACACAAUGCCUGGGCUUGUUUAACUGCCAGUUUUGCCUGUUGGAAAGCAUCCUUUUCCAUUCUCCACCAGUCCCAUAGUUGCCCCUUUUUCAUGAGUCUGUAUAAUGGUCUCAGCAGCUGUGCUAAAUGAGAUAUAAGGGAACAGCAAUAUCCCAAUAUACCUAAGAACUCCUGCAGCUGUUUUGGUGUUGUAGGGACUGGGAAUGCCUGAACCUUACCUAUGACAGCACUGGUAAUCUUUCCCAACCAAACUACCCCCAGGAUUUUCACAGACAGUCCUGGACCUUGCACCUCUGAGGAUUUAUAGCCCAUCCUCUUUCUUGCAGAUAGGUAGUCAAUGAGUCUGCUGCCUGUCCUACUGCCUCCAGUGAGUCAGAUGUCAACAGGAGAUUAUCAAUAUAAUGAUAUAAGCUAACAUUAUUAGGUUUUUUCCAAUUAGCCAGAUCAUGCGCCAGUAGGUUAUGGCAAUAUGUCGGUAAACACAUGUACCCCUCUGGCAGGACCUGAAAGGUCCACUGCCUGCCUCCCCAUGUAAAUGCAAACUGGUCUUGUGAUUCUUCAGGAACUGGAAUGCUGAAGAAUGCAUUUGCCAAGUCUAGGACGCAAUGGUACUACUCAACGUGUCCAUUAGGAAAGCAAUAUUGGGUACAGCCACAUGAACAGGCAGUGUGACCUUAUUUAAUUCUCUAUAAUCUACUGUCAUUCUCCAUGUUCCAUCUGACUUUCGCGCUGGCCACAAGGGGGAAUUAUACAGGCUACAUGCGGGUCCUACAAUCCCAACUUUUUCUAAUUCCUGCACUGUCCUUGAUAUCUCAUCUUUCUCCCCCCAGAGUCUAUACUGUCUCACAUUAGUAAUCUGGCACAGUUCCAGCAGGUGAAUAGGCUCAUACUUCGCAUGGCCUCUCAAUGUUGCCUGCACCACCCAAACACUAAUGCACCUUUGUUGAAGUCUGACUUCUCCCACAGUUGUCUGGAGAGCCAGACCCCAUAAAAUGUCUAUGCCCAAGGUGUACUCCAGGACCGGAGCAAUAGACAAUUUAUACUCCCAGCGCAGGAGACACCCAAGCCCCAGUUUUGACCAUGUUUGGGUAACUGGAAUGGUCUGUCUCCCAGAGCCACCGAUCAUUACUCUAUCCCCAUUAAAUUUAAUUGGAUCUCCAUAAAUAAUCGAUGCUUCCGCAUCUGUGUCAACCAACGCUAUAACCCUCUGUAUGUUCUUUCAGGACCUAAAAAUUAUCAGCUCAACAUAGGGCCUCUGGUCCCAUCUGGAGGCCCUAGUUACAUGGGGACUGGCAUCCACUGUCACACAAGUAACUGUGCAAUUGUCAAUACUUUUUCCCCAGAUGGCUCGGACAUAGUGGCCUGGGUCACUUGAGGCUUUUUGCUUUUACUGGGAACUAGGAAAUCCUCCAAGUUCUAUGUUGCCAUUGGUAGUUUGUCAAUAGUUCUCACCUCAGGGUUUUUGGGGUGAUUUUGAAAUUUUUGAUUGUCUAUCCACUGCCUCCACAGCUGGAGGAGGACAUGAGCAGGAUGGCAAUCAAUUUUCAUAAAUUGAACCCCAGCUCAGAUUAAGUUGUUAAACAUGUAGCAAUUGAGUAGAUCAGCAUGAUGGGAGGAUCAGCACAACAGAAAGGUGGUAUAAGGGAAGGGAAAAAGAUUACUUACCCAUAUCAGAAGAUUCCAGGUUUGCAGGGGAAAGCUCCACCAGGGAGGGAUCUCCAGAAAUGAAUAGCAGUCUUCCUGAAUGGCAGUCAGCCCUUAAAUGAGGUUUAAGAGGUGCAGCUAGGAUCCACUCCUUCCCAUCACACAGGUGAACUGCCCUCACCUGUGCUCCCAGGUCCUUUCCCCAGGUGAUCACUCAGUGGUUCAGGCCAUGACUUAACAGCUCCCACACACUUAGCUUUUGCUUUUUCUUUUAUUUACAGGCAACAAUCUGGAAAGGGAUAGCAUGAAUUAUUCUUGAAUUAAAUCCUAUUAAAGGAGAGAAAAAACACAGCACAAAGAAAUUCAGGAGGCUAAGCAAAGCCAGGAAAAAAAAAAUGAAGAUCAACACUGAAAUAUGAAUUCUGAAGUCAACAAUAUUCAACUACAUGCACUCUGUCCAGGAGAUCUAGAAUUAAGGCAAAUUCAAAGAAAUACAUGAAGAAAACAUUGGUUCCCUGUGUUAUUAACAGCUAUCCAAGGUCACUGAUCAAAUCACACAAUAGUUUAGAAAUGUAUAAAAAUGCAUUUGCAGGAGCCAAAUUUGCAGGUUGAGAAUCUGCAUUCUACACUGUGGCCUUUUUGUCAUGGAGAUAACCAACUUUUCUAAGCAUUUCUAAAAACUUCUGACUUCAUUCCCUUUGAAUAACAGGAAAUAUCUAUACACAUGAAAAGCAAUGUCCUGCCAUGAUUUAAGAACUAGAAGAGAAAUACAUAUACACACACAUAUAUACAUUCUUCCUAUAGUCUAUAUAUAUUCUUAAACUUUCCUGCUUCUCCAAAUCAAGCAAAAAUUCAUUCUACCAUAAAGCAGAUAUUCACAUGAGAGAGAUAUUUCACUAUACAGAAGUACAACAUUUAACCCAUUAUUUUUCUCCACCUUCCUCCUUUGGUGUUAGCAGUAACACUUCAGGAGAACAUUUUUAGGAAAAAUACUUGUUAAUUAAAAAAAAUAACCUCCAACUUCAUUUUAAUGCUCAGCAUCUGUUGUUUUGGGAAAUUCUAUACAAAGCUACAUAAUAUUACACAGAAUCACAAAUGAAAUUAACCAAAGGAUGGCUCGAUGUGAAACACAUCUUUAGAAAGCAUGCUAAUUCCACACCAAUAACUAAUAAUGAUUGACAUAAAAGGAGUAAACAAGAACAAGGUUGAAAACACAAGGUUCCUUUAUAGUAUCAUAGCCAUCAAGUUUAAGGCAAUUCAUAACUUUGUUUUUAUUUUUUAAAUAAUUGGAUACUUGGUUGCAUAUCUUCCUCCUUUUAAGUCUAAAGCAUUCUUAGCAAGAAGGCAAAGUUUUUAGUGGAUGUCAUAUUUAUUACCUAGUGCUCCUGACACUUUGCUUACUAAUGACUAUUGCACAGAACAAGCAAACCAAUAUUAUGAAUGAAUGCUAUUCUUCACUGGUUCACUGCUUCCAGCUGGGAUGGAGUUAAUUUCCUUCACAGUUGUCUAUACAGUGCUGCAUUUUGAAACUGUGAUUAUAUCAGUGCUGAUAACACACCAGUGUUUUGGCCAUUGCUGAGAAGUACUUGCACAGCAUACUGCUUUUUCUUUUUCUCUUCUCUGCCUCCCUCAGAGAGUAAGCUGAAGGUGCACCAGAAAUUGACUUGAGAUAUUCCAAUCCAAAUGGCAUUAUGCUCAGCUACACGAGAUCAUGGAAAGAAGAAGGAACAUUUAUUGUUUUCAUCCUUUCAAGUAACCAUUACACAUGCUGAAAUCCUUCUUUCCAGGAGGUGGCUAAACAUCUGCCUAGCAAUGACAAAUAGUGAAUAAAUUCCUUUAUUUUGCUCUGCUUGCACACAUGACUUCGCUUAAUUUAUUAAACUUGUUUAAAUGAUGAAGACCUUGACCUAUGAGUUUUCAGCUUUCUUAUUCUCUCCCCCAUCUCACUGUGGAGGGAGCUAGCAAGCAACUGCGUGGGUUCUGAGCUGUUAGCAAGAGGGAACACACCAUACAUGACCAUGCUCAAACACAACUGUUUUUGCAGUUACACUCCAUAUAGUUCUUUUUACUUUGGGGAAUUUUGAAUAAAGAAGACAGAUCUUGAUAUUUGAUUCCGUUUUGUCUAAUAUACUCGUAGCAGUUUAAAGGGGACGGAAGAUCCAAUUUAGAAUCAAAAAAUGCAGUCACAUUCAUAAUUCAAGAACUUUAUUUAUGAAAGAAAUUUAUGAAAAACUUCAGGCAAAUAAAUGUAGGUACACUAAAAAUUAGA
ensembl:lncRNA